CCUGUAUAGGGAAUGAACUUUAAACAAUUAUACUAAAGGAGAUAAAGUGUACAGCAUGUGAUUUUGUGGUUUAACCAAUCAGUGAUGCUUUGGUGCCAGGACUGUGAUAUGCAAAAUUAGCAGUUUAACCAAUCAGUGAUGCCUUAGGCUGUGUAAGCAAGGUGCCUUGAAUGCAAAUCAGUUAUGAGAGUCAAGUGUAUAAAUAAGGGCUGCACCUUAGCCUGCAGUGAGUAUGCCUUCUGCUAAUCCGGUAGCUGCAGGGAUCUCCCUUUUUGCAAACAGAAAUAAAAAGAGAUGACAAGCUUCCUCAUGCCUGGUUCUUUGAGGUAAUGAUGGCUGGUAAUUUAACCAACAACCAAUGAAAGUGGAUAUUUAAACAAUACUGGAAGAUAGAGAAUGCUGAAAAUGUUUGACAGAAACGGGCUGAACAAUUUCAUACACCUCCACCAAGUAGACAAACAAUUUACAGAAUACGCAGUAAAUUCGACAAAACUAGGUCCAUCUGUAAUGCUCCAAAAAGUGGUUGACCGGUGAGUGUUAAC